rnacentral:rRNA from 1 species
AACGAACGCUGGCGGCAUGCCUAACACAUGCAAGUCGAACGAGACCUUCGGGGCUAGUGGCGCACGGGUGCGUAACGCGUGGGAACCUGCCCUUAGGUUCGGAAUAACUCCCCGAAAGGGGUGCUAAUACCGGAUAAUGUCUUCGGACCAAAGAUUUAUCGCCUUUGGAUGGGCCCGCGUUGGAUUAGCUAGUUGGUAGGGUAAAAGCCUACCAAGGCGACGAUCCAUAGCUGGUCUGAGAGGAUGAUCAGCCACACUGGGACUGAGACACGGCCCAGACUCCUACGGGGGGCAGCAGUGGGGAAUAUUGGACAAUGGGCGAAAGCCUGAUCCAGCAAUGCCGCGUGAGUGAUGAAGGCCUUAGGGUUGUAAAGCUCUUUUACCCGGGAUGAUAAUGACAGUACCGGGAGAAUAAGCUCCGGCUAACUCCGUG